rnacentral:lncRNA from 1 species
CCAUUUCCCCGAACCAUCGCUUGGAUGAUGAAGCACAUCGCAGAGUACUGCUUCAUCACCAUUCAGGAAUUGUACCCUUUUAAAUUUCUAUAUGGGUAUGCGCUGCUUUUGACACAGCUUUUGUUGUAAGCAGGCACUAAAAUAGAAGCUUAUAAUUAGCUAUCUGGGGAGGCAAGUGUGUGGUAGAACAGAGCUCAGCAAGAGAAAAGUCAAGGCAGGUCCUGGGGAAACACUGCAUGGAAGAUGAGUAAUACAGAGCCCAAGAGUGGAUUGGCAGGAAGGGUGCAGGACCUAACCCAAUGACAAUGCUCGCAGGAGGAGCCCUCCAGAAGGCAACAGCUCCAAACCUCUUGGUACAAAGGAACUCUCUACGUUUAGUUCUCUCGACAACUACCUACUAUAAGAUGAAGUUUCCAGGAACUCAUGUGAUCAUGAGACUCUGCAGUCACUUCAGGGGGUCUUGUUGACUGGCUCGGGGGGCUGGUGUCAAGCCCAAGCAGAAGAGCCCUCAGAGCAAGCAGCCCUGCUUCUGUGGAUGCUGGAUGGCAUCAUCACCAGGCGGGUCCUUCAGAGUACUGGGAGCAGCAUGCAGCCCGAUAGAGUUGGCAAACGUGAAUCUACUAGAAGAUUGACAUGGAGAUCGAGUAGGUAUUCUUUUUAUUAAUAUUCCGUCAUCAAACUGUCUUUACAAAUAUCUACCUUCAUUUUGGCUCUUCCCUAGGUGGUAACUAAUACAUCUGACUAGUAAAUCAUGUCUAAUAUAUAGGACUUCAUAAUGUGUUACAUAGCGCUUGAUGCUCAAAUGCAAACGUCCUGUUUUUUUGGGUUUUUUGUUGUUGUUGUUGUUGUUGUUGUUGUU